rnacentral:lncRNA from 1 species
UGAGGGAACGAGAUAACUAUCUUGAGGGAACGACAUAGUAUCUUGAGGGAACGAGAUAACUAUCUUGAGGGAACGACAUAGCAUCUUGAGGGAACGACAUAGUAUCUUGAGGGAAAAACAUAUUUUUUUUCUUCCAUGGCCGCAUUCUGCCACCGUAUAAAAGGCCCUGAUAUAGUUUUGUCACACAGAUAAAUAAUUUGGAUUUUAACCUAGGCCCCAUUAUAUGACCAUGACCAACGUUUGUUGAUUUCCACCUUCAUAAAUUCCAGGUCGUCUAACAACCAUUGUUUUCAAAGAUUGAAUUUUUAUUGAUGGAAAAUGAUGUACAAGUGAUUUUUAAUUAGACAUCG